UGAGUUUGAUCAUGGCUCAGAUUGAACGCUGGCGGCAGGCCUAACACAUGCAAGUCGAGCGGUAACAGGACUAGCUUGCUAGUUGCUGACGAGCGGCGGACGGGUGCGUAACACGUAGGAAUCUGCCCGGUAGUGGGGGAUAGCCCGGAGAAAUCCGGAUUAAUACCGCAUACGCCUUACGAGGGAAAGGAGGGGCCUCUUCGGAGCCUUUCGCUAUCGGAUGAGCCUGCGUCGGAUUAGCUAGUUGGUGGGGUAAAGGCCUACCAAGGCGACGAUCCGUAGCUGGUCUGAGAGGAUGAUCAGCCACACUGGGACUGAGACACGGCCCAGACUCCUACGGGAGGCAGCAGUGGGGAAUAUUGCACAAUGGGGGAAACCCUGAUGCAGCCAUGCCGCGUGUGUGAAGAAGGCUCUAGGGUUGUAAAGCACUUUCAGCGAGGAGGAAAGGUUGCUGGUUAAUACCCAGCGGCUGUGACGUUACUCGCAGAAGAAGCACCGGCUAACUCCGUGCCAGCAGCCGCGGUAAUACGGAGGGUGCGAGCGUUAAUCGGAAUUACUGGGCGUAAAGCGUGCGUAGG
rnacentral:rRNA from 1 species